rnacentral:rRNA from 1 species
AAUGAACACUAGCGGCAGGCCUAAUACAUGCAAGUCGAACGGGAUUAAGAGGCUUGCUUCUUAUGAGAGUGGCGCACGGGUGCGUAACACGUAUGCAACCUACCUUCAACUGGGGGAUAGCCUUCCGAAAGGGAGAUUAAUACCGCAUAACAUAAUUGAGUGGCAUCACUUGAUUAUCAAACGUCAGGGUUGAAGAUGGGCAUGCGUCCGAUUAGUUGGUUGGUGAGGUAACGGCUCACCAAGACUACGAUCGGUAGGGGAUCGGAGGGGAUGGCCCCCAACACUGGUACUGAGACACGGACCAGACUCCUACGGGAGGCAGCAGUAAGGAAUAUUGGUCAAUGGACGGAAGUCUGAACCAGCCAUGCCGCGUGCAGGAAGACGGUCCUCUGGAUUGUAAACUGCUUUUGUUAGGGAAGAAACUUCCGGACGUGUACGGGACUGACGGUACCUAAAGAAUAAGGAUCGGCUAACUCCGUGCCAGCCGCCGCGGUAAAAC